rnacentral:rRNA from 1 species
UACGGGGGGGGGCAAGCGUUGUUCGGAAUUACUGGGCGUAAAGGGCUCGUAGGUGGCCAACUAAGUCAGACGUGAAAUCCCCAGGCUCAACUUGGGAACUGCGUCUGAUACUGGAUGGCUUGAAUUCGGGAGAGGGAUGCAGAAUUCCAGGUGUAGCGGUGAAAUGCGUAGAUAUCUGGAGGAAUACCGGUGGCGAAGGCGGCAUCCU